GACGUAGGAGGCGAGCGUUAUCCGGAUUCACUGGGCGUAGAGCGCAUGUGGGCGGAUGUCUAAGUCGUGUGUUAAAGCCCCUGGCUCAACUGGGGGAGGUCAUGCGAGACUGGAUGACUUGAGGGCAACAGAGGCACGUGGAACUCCCGGUGUAGCGGUGGAAUGCGUAGAGAUCGGGAAGAACACCCGUGGCGAAGGCGGCGUGCUGGGUUGCAACUGACGCUGAGAUGCGAAAGUGUGGGGAGCAAACAGG
rnacentral:rRNA from 1 species